CCAUGCCCAAGAGCAGACAAAUUGUUAACUUCCUCUGUUUCCAGCCACUUCUCCCUCACCCAGCCUUCAGAACAGCAGGAAGCCAAGAGCAGAAGACAUAAACCCAAGCAUUUGAGCCUGGACCUCACUGUGCUGUUGCAGGAUGGUUGAUGUGGUGCACAGGAAAUGUACUGUUUUUUCAGCUCUUAACUGCUGAUCCACCAGCCAUGAACGUAACAAACUGUUACUGAUGUGUACCUUUAAAAUUGGCCACUAAAGCAAAUUGGGAUCAUCAGAUGAAAAAUACCAUAUGAGUUAUUUCUGAGGGCGAAGAACUGGCCUAGAAGGGGCAAGUCGCCGGGAAUGACCACCUUCCAUGCCCCUU